rnacentral:snoRNA from 1 species
CUCGCACGUAAACCCAAGAAUUGCUGUUUCUUAUGAACAGCAGUGCGAACAGCAAGAGAACCUCGGUGCCUUCAGGGCUGUGCGGUGCCCUCAGUGAACGUGGAGGCUCUUCGUCC